rnacentral:tRNA from 1 species
GCCUGGGUGGCUCAGUUGGUUGAGCAUCUGACUUCCAGCUCAGAUCAUGAUCUGACAGUUCUCAGGCU